rnacentral:tRNA from 1 species
CUCCUCGUGGUACAGGGGUAAGACGCCCUGUCUAAUGAACAGGGAGUCGUGAGUUCGAUUCUCAUCGAAAAAA